rnacentral:rRNA from 1 species
AACGAACGCUGGCGGCAUGCCUAACACAUGCAAGUCGAACGUGAUCCGGGGCUUGCUCCGGUGAAAGUGGCGGACGGGUGAGUAACGCGUGGGAACCUGCCCUUUGGUCGGGGAUAACUGCGGGAAACUGCGGCUAAUACCCGAUGCACCCGAGAGGGGAAAGAUUUAUCGCCGAAGGAUGGGCCCGCGUCGGAUUAGGUAGUUGGUGGGGUAACGGCCUACCAAGCCUUCGAUCCGUAGCUGGUCUGAGAGGAUGAUCAGCCACACUGGGACUGAGAUACGGCCCAGACUCCUACGGGAGGCAGCAGUGGGGAAUAUUGGACAAUGGGCGCAAGCCUGAUCCAGCAAUGCCGCGUGAGUGAAGAAGGCCUUAGGGUUGUAAAGCUCUUUCGGCGGGGACGAUGAUGACGGU